rnacentral:rRNA from 1 species
GUCUAUGGCUAUGCUACCCUGAACAAGCCCGAUCUCAUCUGAUCUUGGAAGCUAAGCAGGGUCAGACCUAGUUAGUACUUGGAUGGGAGAUCACCUACGAAGGCCAGGUGCUGUAGGCG